rnacentral:rRNA from 1 species
ACACUCCUGCGGGAGGCAGCAGUGGGGAAUAUUGCACAAUGGGCGCAAGCCUGAUGCAGCCAUGCCGCGUGUAUGAAGAAGGCCUUCGGGUUGUAAAGUACUUUCAGCGGGGAGGAAGGCAAUACGGUUAAUAACCGUGUUGAUUGACGUUACCCGCAGAAGAAGCACCGGCUAACUCCGUGCCAGCAGCCGCGGUAAUACGGAGGGUGCAAGCGUUAAUCGGAAUUACUGGGCGUAAAGCGCACGCAGGCGGUCUGUCAAGUCGGAUGUGAAAUCCCCGGGCUCAACCUGGGAACUGCAUUCGAAACUGGCAGGCUUGAGUCUUGUAGAGGGGGGUAGAAUUCCAGGUGUAGCGGUGAAAUGCGUAGAGAUCUGGAGGAAUACCGGUGGCGAAGGCGGCCCCCUGGACAAAGACUGACGCUCAGGUGCGAAAGCGUGGGGAGCAAACAGGAUUAGAAACCCUGGUAGUCCCAUGA